GGGGAAGCUUGGCUCACUGAGGGCUCUAUGGCCUCAGACCUAAUAGUUGUCAUGUUUGCUCUGUGGUUAUUUCGAAUCGACUUGUUAUCUAGUGGUCUGAUCAUUUUGCAGUCAAAAUACUAUUCCGUUUUGAUUUAAUUAAUAAUUAGUCUCUCAAGUAAUGAUGACAGGUGACAGCAGUAGAAAAGAAACUCUUUAGGUUCUGUGUUGAGAUUUUGCUGUCGUAAUGGUCAGCAAAAUCUACGUUAAUUAAUUUAAUAAAUUUAGAAUCAAGUUUUCAUGUAAUUAGGUUUUGAUUAUUUACUCUUGAAGUAAUUAAGAUUGUAAAACGUUACCACCAUAACGAACGUGGCGGCGAUCGACCAAUAGGAGAUCACGUAACUCUUAUCCAAUGGCAUCGCGUCCCAAAUGGCGCGUACGCGUGUACCGUCACUGUGUAUUCACUCUAGUGAGGCAUCCUGCCUCCGUCUGUCUCCGUAGUCUGCUGAUUUAGUAAUUCAGUUCUAAUCGCGUUUUUAAGAUGGAAUAAUCGUCUUCUACUUGCUAAGUAUAGUGAAAUAGUGAAGUGUUAAGUAGUGUUAUUAAGAAAAGGAAAGUAAUUAGUGACUUGGGCUAUUAAUUGGUUCAAUUCUUUGUUGUGCAGCUUGAGGCGUCAUGCUGCUUGUCGCGUUAGUGAUUUUGUUCGAUAAUGUUUCGUGAUGAAGUAAUUAUUGAUCUUAAAUUGUUUACUGUGGGCAUGGAGAGCACGUCGGGCAGGGUUGGUGAGUGUUUACUAGUAUUAAAAGGCGCCUUUAAACCACACCCAAGGUCACAAGUCCUGGGACUUGCUCGAUGUACUUCCUCUACUACAACUACCAGGGUAAAAUAGUAAAAUUAAGAGUAGUAUUGUGUAAGCGAUUAGUGAGGUUAAGCAUAGCAUACCUAUUGUAAUUGGCAGAGCCGAUGACCAAGGUUAGGUUAGUGGUUCUGUCCAUAUUUUUAUUAAUGACUCUACGCUUUUUACGACAUCAGAAGUGGUAUCGCUCCAGCGAUCCCUUUCUGCCGGUCAAUCUGUACCAAAUCCUGACAUUGACAAUGAAAGUGCAACUUAAUUUGAAAUUUGUGAAAUCCCUGAUGAAAUUAAUUUUAUUUGAUAACUACCCUCAGUUACCGCUUAACGGUUUUUCUUGUGGUAACUAAGUUGGACUUAAAACCGUAAAAUAGUUUUGACAAUUUAAUAUUGAUGCGUCAUUGAGUUGAAUCGGCAAUGGUUGCCGUGAUGCCCGUGUCGCCAUAUCGCAUCCAAAUAAAUAAUGUAAUAACGUAAAAGACAAAGAGAAAAAUAAAAAAGAAAAAGAAGAAAAAAAAAAAAAAAUUGAGAAAUGUUCAUUACGUUGCAAUCUGUAUUACUUUUAAAAUUUAUCGUUUGCAAACGUUAUGCGUUUGCGAGUCGAGUACUUUUAGUUAAAAACCGCGACGGUUUGAGCCGAGUGUGCGAAUCUUUUACUGAUAAUUUCAAAAUAGAUAUUGCGUUUACGUGGCGUACGGCAUUUUUCCAAGUUAGUUUACAUCCCCAAAAUAAAUUAUUGAUGAUGGAAGACAAUUCCUCAGAAGCUUCCAAGAGUUAUUGUGACAGGCAUUGCAACGAACUACACAUAGUGACUCCAGGUAACGAAAUACUAUCUUUGGUUAUUUGCAAUGCUCUUUUUACUGUAAAGCACAUACAAUAUUUGGUAUAGCUUCGUUAACACUUCUUGUAAGUAGUCAAAAUUGUGUAGUACCUAAACUUCUUAAUCUAGUUGAUUUUGACAGUAGGGUCAUCGAUAUAGAAGCCCUGCAUGUUUACAUCCAAAGUAGAAUGGCCGAGGCGGUGGUAAAAAAAAAACCACUAUUAGUAAGUAGACUACUUGGUUUUAAUUAAAAACAACCAAACGUCGCUUCACCUUUGUUUAGCAAUCCUUAUAGUGAAGUACACAGAGUGCUCAAGAGCGGUAUCUAGUCGUCAUUGGAGGCCUUGCAGGGUCACAGAUAACCAAUUAAGGCGACCUGCUCGUCCUGGUGAUCUUCUGGCGGCCGUACCGCCUCUGGUAUCAACGGUGUCAAACGUCUAACGCCACUACAGCCGCGCAGCCCGCUACUACUUCUGCAGUCGUUGCAGCCUGCGGCUAUUGCGACCGCUGGAGCUGGCGUGCUGCCUGUGUCGUCUACUACAUCGACCACUGCGUCGACUAUUUAUUCCCGGUGAAUAUAGUUUCAAUUAUUUUAACAUUUACACAAACAUCAUCACAAACACUUUAAAAGAAAGAGUAAUGAGAAUACUUAUAAUUUUACUUAUUGGCGGCGUGGAGUCGUUUAUAACUAAUAAAAGAUGCCAUGUGGCACUCAAAAGAUGUCGUUGGCGUAUGGAGCCGACCAGCGACCACCAAAAGAUGCCAUGUGGCACUAAAAAUAUGUCGUUGGCGUAUGGAGCCGACCAGCGACCACCAAAAGAUGUCGUUGGCCUGAGGUGCCUUGUAUAACGACCAACCUUGUCUAUCCCCUGUGGACCACGGCGCUAGAUAACCGCUUAGCACCACAGCAUCGACCUUCCCAAACUCCCCUAGAGCCUUCGACGUGGAUCUAUCUCACCUGAUUCCCUACCUAUACUACACACCACGUUAUAACUGUAUUCAUAUGAAAAUUAUGAGCAGUGUCUACGUGUACACUUAAAACACAACAUACUUACUUAUUUUAUAAUUAUAAUAUUUAUCUGUUGUCGCGUGGAGCGAGCAGUGUUAAUAUAAAUUAUUAUUACCUGUUGUCGCGUGGAGCGAGCAGUGUACAUUUGAAUCAUUAGCUGUUGUCGCGUGUAGCAAGCGUCAAUAUGAAAUAAACUUAUAAAUAUUCUCUUUCUCAACAUUCAUAGCAAGUUUGUGUUGUCACACGUCUUACAGUUCAGCCUUGUCACGUUCAGCCAAGAUAACUAAACAUUUUAAUUUUAGAUACUAAAGUUCAGCCUUGUUUAAGAAAAGAACUGGAGGCGCUGCAGAGCACGCACCGCACGUCAGUAUGGCCGUGUCGCCGGGGAAGCUUGGCUCACUGAGGGCUCUAUGGCCUCAGACCUAAUAGUUGUCAUGUUUCAAAUCAAAUCAAAUCAAAAAUCAAAUCAAAAUUUGUUUAUUGCGAAUUCAGGUUACAGUCAGAUCUUAUUGAAAUAAACACCAAAUUCCGCCUUACAGCUUGCAAUAUCAUUAUAAAAAACAUUAUUAUUUACAAUAAUCAAUUCACACACUUAUUUGUACAGUGAUUAAUUAAUUAGUAGGUACAUUGAAUAUU